rnacentral:rRNA from 1 species
UACGUAGGGACCAAGCGUUGUUCGGAUUUACUGGGCGUAAAGGGCGCGUAGGCGGCGCGGUAAGUCACUUGUGAAAUCUCUGAGCUUAACUCAGAACGGCCAAGUGAUACUGCAGUGCUAGAGUGCAGAAAGGGCAAUCGGAAUUCUUGGUGUAGCGGUGAAAUGCGUAGAUAUCAAGAGGAACACCUGAGGCGAAGGCGGGUUGCUAGGCUGACACUGACGCUGAGUGCGCGAAAGCCAGGGGAGCAAACAGG